CCAAUCAAGUCCACAGGUUAUCAAAAACCCAAAUUAUUUGCAAACUAAUAAUUUUGGAAUCCUAUUAUCUCCGGUUGGUUUAAGCUUCUUUCCAAGUCCCGCCAAAGUGACAACACUUGUCAUGCCUCAGUAUACAUCUACAGAUAAACCAUUUAAAUCCUGAUUGAUGUGUAUCCUCUUCAAAAUUGAUGAUAUUUCACAGAUGAUGAGGAUGGAUCACAACUAGACUAUAGAAGUGAAGAGAAACCAUAAUAUAAGAAUAAAUAGUUGGACCCACGCUGAUUUGUAAGUUUUAAGACCUCUGCUAUUUCUUUCCUUUGUCC
rnacentral:lncRNA from 1 species